AGGCCCAUGUGAGGGGCGUGCAUGCCGCGCGCGCCGGUGGGCUCGCCUUCGCUGAUGGUGACCGAGGGUCGGGCGCCUACCCACCGGCCGGCUGGUCGAUGCUCUCACAUAUGGCCGGGUCGAUCACGCGGCCUUGGCGUGGGAUCGCGUUACACGGCACGUACGCCUGUCGCCCCGGCUGGCUGGCUGGGUCGUCGUACUAACAUGCACGUCGUCCCAGAGGCCAGAUGGAUCGAUCGAUCGACACCCUCAUAUGCGCAGCUAGCGCGGUCAUGGAUGUUUCUUACCGCAUGGACCAUAGGGCGCUGCAAGCAAGACGAUAUGGUAUUGAAUCGUCGCACGGUCGGGGUAAAAGAGAGUGUGAAUCCGACCAGAUGAACACACGGCUCCCCCCGCUGCUGGUCUCAAGCUCUGGGUCUUACUCUCGUGACUUAAUUGCUCAUGCCGCCGUCGAUCGAGACUUAAACUUAGGCCUUGUUUAGUUCACCCAAAAAAGCAAAAAGUUUUCAAGAUUCUCCGUCACA